rnacentral:miRNA from 1 species
AUUUUUCGAAGCAAGAAACCCAGUUCUUCCAGUUUUUCGAAGCAAGAAGCCUAAUUAAAAAUGUUGGAAGAAUUGGGCUUCUUGCUUCGAAAAACUAGAAGAA